rnacentral:tRNA from 1 species
UGCCGUGUAGUUCAAUUGGUAGAACGUGUGAAAUGUGUCGGUUCGAAUCCGACCACGGCAA